ensembl:lncRNA
CUCCUGGGUCACCUCCGCCCGCCUUGCGCAGCCCGGGGCUCCUAAGCGCAGGCCUCGGACGCUCCUCCCUCUGGGAGAACUCCGAGAUUCCCGCUUGGUUUCUGUUUCCAGACCCCGAGCCCUGUGUGUAAGAACAGUGUCAGCAAGACUUUGUGGGUGCAAGCUCCGGGCCACGUGAGCGCGCGCGAGCCAGGAUGCUUGUGCAGGUUGAAUCCCUGGUCAGGAGAGAUGCCACAUGCCUCGUGGCAACUAAGCCUGUGAGGCCCUGCUCUGCAAUAAGAGAAGCCACCACCAUCAGAAGCCCGCACACUGCAGCUGGAGGGUAGACCCCUGCUCGCUGCAACUGGACAAAGCUCAGGAGCAACAGCAAAUACCCAGCACGGCCAAAAAUAAAAAAAAAAAAAGAAGAAGAAGAAAUUAAUGGGAAAAAAAAAAUCAGGGAAACCUGGCGUGCUGCAAUCCAUGGGAUCAUCAAGAGUCAGACACGAUUUAGCACCUGAACAAAAACAAGGAAAACAAUAGCCGCUCCCAGCUCAUCGGGUUGUUUAAGGAUUAAAUGAGACAAGGCAUGAAAGAACCUAACAGAGA